rnacentral:rRNA from 1 species
CUACGGGGGGCUGCAGUCGAGAAUUUUGGGCAAUGGGCGAAAGUCUGACCCAGCAAUGCCGCGUGCGGGAUGAAGGUCUUCGGAUUGUAAACCGCUGUCGAGGGGGACGAAAUUUGACGGUACCCCUAGAGGAAGCCACGGCUAACUACGUGCCAGCAGCCGCGGUAAUACGUAGGUGGCGAGCGUUGUUCGGAUUUAUUGGGCGUAAAGGGUCCGCAGGGGGUUGAUUAAGUCUGACGUGAAAUCCCUGAGCUUAACUCAGGAACUGCGUUGGAGACUGGUUGACUAGAGUGUUGGAGAGGUGAUUGGAAUUCCAGGUGUAGCGGUGGAAUGCGUAGAUAUCUGGAAGAACAUCGAAAGCGAAGGCAGAUCACUGGACAAUGACUGACCCUCAGGGACGAAAGCAUGGGGAGCAAACAGGAUUAGAUACCCUGGUAGUC